CUGAGACAAAAAAAUCACUUAAGAAAUCAAAUCUCAUAUAAUGGAAAUACUUUAACCACAGCAUUCACACAUUUGACUGUGGAUUCCAAAUGCUUAUCUAAACAGAGGCAACGCAAUUAAACUGCCUUCACUCAAAAUGGUGUCAGAAGGCAACUACCCUAUUUACUAGCCACUGAUAAGUUAUGACAACACUAUUUCAUAGCCUGUCACUAUAUUUCUUUUAACCCCCCAGCAGUAGGAUUUAGGAUUUCCUCAACACUAAGGGCUUAUCUCAAAUGCUUUAGUGCACGAACAGUAAAAAAUCAGAGUUGCAAUGCCACAUUGAGAAACUAGAUAAUGACUUGGAAAUAAAAGUGGGGGAAGUGAUGAACUGCCACUACCUGUUUUUCUAAGUUUUCUAUUUUCUAAUACAGAGCAAAACUUUAAAUGCUAACGACAAAAAUAAAUCUAACAGGCCUAGAAAUUCUGAAGGUAACCCAGUGACAAUAGAAAACUUUUAGAUCACUAUUAAGAGGUCUUUAUAUUGUUCAUAAACAAUAGGAAAAUAAGACUGAUACUGUUUAUAAUUACUAACUAGAUAAAAUUUGGCAAAAGACAUCUAAUAUACUUUUUACAAUGAAAAUGAUUUCUAAAAAUGAUUCCCUUGAUCUCAUACCUAUAGAAAAACUAUCAGUGAUUACUUUUUAGUAUGAAAAUAAUAAGCUAGUUACACAAUUUAAAUAUUAUUUUCUGACUUUUCUCUCUUCCUUAUGAGACUGGGGAAAAAAGAUGUUAGAGGAGAAAAAUAACUGUUACAUGCCAAAUAGUUCAAAAUCUUCCCCUGGAAACUGAAACAGGAUCCUUAGAAAGUACAUAAUGUCCUGGAGUUUCCCUUGUAGACAAAUACUUUGGUCAUUUAUAUUUGAACAUGUGAGCUAUGGAUAUAUUUGAACAUGUGGGGUGAAGUCUCCGAAGAUUAACACGACCCAAGGUCUGUGAAGG
rnacentral:lncRNA from 1 species